ACAAACUUCACCAAAGCAUAUUGAGAGAAGUUUACUUAAGAUAAGAUCACUCAAACUCUCUCUCUCUCUCUCUCUCUCUCUCUAUAUAUAUAUAUAUAUAUAUGCUUGCUUACUUUACAACUGAGAAGUGAGAACUAUAACCUCUGAUUUCAAUUGCGGCCUUGAUCACAUUAAAGGAGGCAUGUACGGCAUCUCUUUUGAGCCUUGACUGCUCCGUUCACAGAUUGCAGAAAAAAUACCAGAUAAAAAGCACCCUUUUUGAGAUUGGUUGGAGCUCUUACAUGUCACCACUACUGUCAUAACUCAGAACUCACCACCUAUUGUUAGAAUCUGUUUCACAACCCAUUAAAAUUCAUAGACAAUUGGAAGUAUGAUGUUGAUGCAUGGGAUUGUCUCUUCCAACAUUGUGAAUUAUUUUCUUUAUCCAUUGCAUACAGUGCAAUUUUUAUUGUUUAAUCACUAUUUAUAACUGGAAUUUUUGUUUCUUUUCUCUAUUCUAUGUAUAUUGAAAUUUGAUUUAUGCGUGUUUAUGGUGUAGCCAGAUAACUAUUGGCUGGAAUCUGUUUACUAGGGACUAGUUGCGAAGAAUGCAGAACAAUUCUUACCAUCUUACUCUGUUUGGUUUAAUUGGUUCUUGUGACAUAUUCAGGUAAAUUUCUUUCUUCUUUCUGUAAAUAAUUAGUCCUGGUCUUAAACAUAUAUUAUAUAUAUGGAUAUAUAUACACACACAGACACUCAAAAACGCACAAACAAAUAUUUAUACAAACACACGCAUAUAAACGAAUUUAAGAAAAAACUACAAUUAGUUUAAAAAUUGGAGACGUCGUAGGACAUGAGUUUGUGAUGACAUAUUUUGAAGUAUUUCAUAUUGGAGGCGAGAAUAAUAUGAGAUUGAUGAUAUCAAUUUUGAAACCAAACACUAAAAUUUCUAAUAUUUAGCAUUAUUCUUAGCUCAUCUUUAGGAAAUUUAUACAUUGAUCUUAUUUAUAUUCCUUGUAAAGAUAAAACUAGAAGAUAUAGGAAAAUGAUGUUUAAGGUUGCAAAAUUUAUUGUUCCAGAACGAAAGUGUACAUAUUUUGGAAAGUUUAUACAAGAUGAAAUUUACGAACGUGUUACUGUUUUAUGGUAGUUCUAUUCCAAACAAUUGCUCUAUAGUUUUUCUACUUUCAGAUCUUAUGUUUGGGGUUGUGCCAUCUGAGCUUCUGUUCCCUAUGUAAAUCUAAACUAAUUUUCAAUGAAGUGAUGUUGAUGGUGAAAGUUUUUAAUAUAUGGAUUUCCCAUUUGUUUGUACACAUGUAAAGGAAAGCAAGCAGGGUGUCAACAACAUAUUAUACAGUAUUAAAGAUGCAUAAAUGAUGGUGUCUCCUUUCUGAUUAUAAUUGCAAAAUUUCCUCUUUUUCAGCCAUCAACAUAAUAUAUUUAUAAUAUAUAUGUAUAUGCGUCUGUGUGUGCGUAUGCACAUGUGCGUAUUUAACUAUUUAUGUAUGUAUGUGUGUGAUAAGGAUCUUUUCAUAUGCCAGGGAAUAUGAGAAGAUCCUUGGGCCCAUUUUUCAUUUCCACCCUUGUUUAGUUGUUUAUAACACCAAAUAGAUUCUUAUACAGUGACUGUGCAUUGCGAGCCUACUUACCCCUACGAUAUUAGUUGCUCCUAAUUUGGGUUCGUUAUAAUUACAUGUUGUAGGCUCGUAGCACUUUUCACUAAAUGUGUGUGGAACAUUUUCACAUAAUGUAAGGUUGAAAGGCAACUAUUGGCAGAAAUAUUUGUAUCCACUUGCAAUUUGUAAUUCGAAUGUUCAUGCAUCUUUAUAUAUAAAAAAUACAAAUAUUCAUGUAUAUUAUUACUUAUCCAAAAAAAAAAAGUUCAUGUAUCUUAUUCCAUUCUAAGUAGCAUACAUAUGGUUCUAGUCAUUGGUAUGAGUUUUCGUUGAGAAGAUUGCAUUGUACCUCACAAAUGAAGUUCUACACUUUUUAUUGAUUUGGAUUAUUUUUUAUAUUGGUUAAUCCAGGGGUGAUUCAUUUUAUAAUGAGGACUUCAAUGGUCUCUUCUGAGGCACUGCCACAACCUUAACAGAGGAAAAGGAAGCAUGUGAUUACAACUAGCUCUCUUGAUGAGCACUUGAGCAGCCUGACUGAGUUCACUUAGUUGGUUUGGAAGUGAUGAUACCCAAAAUCUUAAUUCCAAUGUCUGUGAAGAUGGCUGCACUAUUGGAAUCUCUUCUAACUAUGGUAUGUUUUAGUAUCUCUUGUGAAGAAUGAUUACUAUCUUCCAUUGAUUGAGAAGAAGUGAAAUACACUUGCAGAUGAUGGGAUCCGCCGUCAUUAGCAAUGUUCUGAAAAGUAGUAGGCGGACAUUGGUGAUGGAGGGAACUUUGAGCGCCUAGGCCAUGUAGUCGGCACCUAGGCAGUUUUCUAGGCGGUGUAAUUUUAUUUUAUUUUAUUAUUAGUAAAAUUGUUGGGGUAGAAUUUAAAACAUAUCAAACUUUAGGACUAUGAGUAAUAUUAUGAAGAAACUUUGAUGAGUUUAUUUUAGCAUAUUUUUUUAGAGAGUUUUAUGGUGGUGGAUCUUUACAUAUUUUUGAGAAGGCGACUAUUGUGGCAUCCCGAUAAUGUAUUCUACUUCUUCCAUUUUUUGGUUCUGUUUUCUUUCUGAAACUGUUGAUGCGAAGUCCGGUUUGAG
rnacentral:lncRNA from 1 species